rnacentral:rRNA from 1 species
CCCUUAGAUGUUCUGGGCGGCCCGCGCACUACAAUGGCGUGUGCAGCGAGUGCCGAAGUAGAGUUUUCCGAGGUAUUCUUGCAAUGCUCGUUUUGAUGGGGAUAGACCCUUGCAACUGUUGGUUUUGAACGAGGAAUUCCUUGUAAGCAUGGUUUAUCAUCCGACGUUGAAUGCGUCCCUGCCCUUUGUACACACCGCCCGUCGCUCCUACCGAUGAGUCGUCCGGUGAAGUUCGUAGACCUCGUGAUCGCGGAUCACUGGGGGAAGCAAAAUGAACCUCGCGGUUUAGAGGAAGGAGAAGUCGUAACA